AAGUAAUAGAUUGAACAGGCCAAUUGCUAAUAAAUCAGAGCCGUUCCUGACAGAGACACAAACGAUUCAGGGGUUUGUAAUACAACUGUUUUAAUUGUAAAAGGAUACCAGGUUAAUACAUUGGAUGAAGCACUGAAACAAGCCACUGGGACAUCGCAAAUACCACGAAAAGACGCUCAGUCAUUCAUUCAAUGGGAAGCAAACAGAGAGAAAGUGUCCUGUAUUUACUCUACACAGCGUAGUCAGAUGUUGUCCAAGCUCUCCUCAUUCAAAAGAAAAUACACUUCAAAAAAUGUUUUACAAACAGGUUGUUAACAAAAGGACUGCCUUGGUUAGAUUCCAUUUCAUUUUUUUAUCAAAAGACAAUAAUCUUUAGGAAAAAAGGCACCACUGUAGGUGUUGAACUUUUCGGCAGAUUUACACCAAACAACCAGACAUUUAUCGGUAAUGUUUCAAUAUGCUGUAAAAGUGUACAAAAUUGGGGAUCACCAGACGAGAUAGCAAAGAGCUUGUGAGUUUGAACAAAAGUUAUAUUUUCCUUCCUCAGGAAAACAACUUUUUUUUUUUUUUUACAAAAAUGUUGAUUGCCAGUGUACAAGCGGUUGGCGGUUCCCAUGGUAACCCUUGCCAGUACAAGCUGUUGGCUGUUCCCAUGGUAACCGUGUAUCUGCAUGGCAGUGCGGAGGGUUCAUCAGUCAGUUUGGUUGGGUUUUGGUCAAACGUAGUUAGUGAAUUUUACCUUUCAGUUUAUUCAGAGCGAAGAGUGUGUCAUUGCUAUGGUGACAAAUGUAUUGAAAUGACUAAACUGGACCUUUUAGUCUUCUACUGAAGUAUCAGAUAUUAAAUAUUUUACAUAAAACAUUACCCCUUUUUCCGCUCCCCAACUAUUCAAUAUCUUAUCCCCCCUAAUGCAUAGACGCAACCAUAAAAUAUCCUACACGUGCAAUUGUCAUAUCUUUACAGUUAGGGUGAAACAUAUCGUCAUGACGUUUUUAAGAUCCAUCUACAUCUGUAAAAGAGCUUGUGUCUCUGUGCUUUCCUCUCCAUCCAGUUGUCAAAUCAAAGCCCUGAUCAACCCGUGAGGACGCACCCGUAGCCCAGGACACACAGUGCAAACCGCGGACAGAAGCUGCCAAAGUACCAGAGGCCGAUAGAAAAGGAAAGUGGUACCGGUACCAUCGGGCCCUCAUUGAUAACCACAGUUUGGUCUGACCAGGAUAGAAACUUUUGACGUGAUUUUACAACCCAAACUUUGAUCCCAUAACAUCCUCUUAUAUAUCAAUGUUUUUUUUCCUAUUAAGAGAGUUGUAAUAAUUAUGCGUUUUUUGAAGCCAUGCAAAUGUUGAGAAUCCCUCAACCGCUAUAAGAUGAGUAUCUGCGAGUAUCUGACGUCGAUGAGCGUUUAAAUUAGUCAUGCAUUAGGUAGGGGGGUACGGCAGACAGUAACGCUACAUACAGGUCCCAUCUUAUAUUUCUCAUUUUCAGUAUACUUUGGCUUUGACUCUUUCAAAUCACUGAAUCUGAACUUUCCCCCUCCCCCAUCAUGAUAUUUUUACCAGUACAUAAGCCAGGGGGAAAAAUGGUGUGAUUUUACUGUAAGCAUAUGAGGAGACAGUGAUUAUAUCACAGGGCCAAAGACUUUCUCUCAAAAAGAAAGAACAUUCUAUAAGGGACGUUUUGGGCACACUUGGAUAUAACUUCCAGGGUUAACUUUCAAAAUAAAAAAGCUUUUCAAAUAGUUCAUAAGCGAAAAUGUACAGGUAACAUGUACUGUGUGUGUGUGUGUGUGUGUGUGUGUGUGUGUGUGUGUGUGUGUGUGUGUGUGUGUUUGUUUGUCUGUGUGUGUUUCAUGUGAGAUAUGCAGAGUAUAAAUAAGGAUAUCGAGAGUCAUUAUCAAGAAUUCACAUAUGGGGGGGUGGGAGGGUAAUGCAUUGGGUGGUGAAUGGUGGCAGGUUCUCUCUGAUCGUACCCGGCGAGGGGAGCACUAAAGAGGCGGAUUAACUGACGUUAUGGAAGCACAUUUAGGGACACAAAGCGAGCACGUUAUGAAAGCUAUACACACUAUUUACAGCCAGUGAGAAUAUCGCUCUCUCUUCAAAAAGUACCAUUACUUUCUCGCGGAGAGACGGGAGGACGCAGAGAAAAAGGGAUGAAAUACCAGCGAUACAAAAACCCCAAUCAAAGCUCCAGAAUAACACCUCUAGAAAAAGUUCCUUCUUGCUGCCCGGUAUCAUGUUUGAUCCGUAAGCUAAACAAAACAAAAGAAGUCCACUCGAUAACAAAACAUUCAGUUAAAAGUGAAUCGGGUUUCUACGUGUUAUUGAAUUGUGAAAACUACCAUUCUACACCAACAAAAUACCGUUGCACGUUAUUGAAAUGUAUGUAUAUAAGAAACAACUCCUACAGCACAGCUGUAUGUACAGGUUCUUGUGACUGAAAAAAAAACGGGUACAAAAAAUAAGAAGUUAAACAAAAGAGUCCAUUUGUGUGCAUUCUCAAGCAGCAAAUGGCAGCGCAACCCUGGUUGUUGUUUUUGUUGUUGUUCUAAUGCCAAAACAGGAGCAAUAGGAGCGAUCGGCUGGCCUGUUGGGAGCGCGAUGGAGGAGGAAAGUGGCCUCUGGGGCCCAGAGUCCUACAUAGACUCUCCCAUGGAGUCCUCGUCCUCCUGGGACAGGGGCAGGUACAGGUCCUGAGAGAAAGAGAGACAAGUUCACCCACAUCCCAUUCAGACGCCAAACAGCAAUCAGCCACAAUGGGCCCAUGCAUGGAUUGUUAAACGGGAACCAUCACGUUUUGUUACAAGAAAUGAUAGCAUGUUAUGAACAGCAUGUGCAAACAUCAUAUCUGCGUUCUCCAUUGGUCGGAAAUAAAUCCAUGGUGCUACUUCUCUUGUUUGAUGGAAACAGAGUUCAUUUUGCCGACACUGAUUUGUUCACAGCGUGUGUAUGAAGCGGUUCUCUCCUAUAGAUAGGUUUGCCUUUAUGAAGGCAUGCCGUUUACAGGAUGGAGAGGAGAAUGUCCAGAGGGCGGGGCAGGACGUACCUUCUGCUUGCGUCCGAGUCCCGGACUAGUGGGGGAGGAGGUGGGGGAGUUCUGGCUGUUGGAGCCGGUUCCAUUAACUACUCCAUCGCACAGGAGAGAGAGUGAGAGAGAGAGAGAGAGAGAGAGAGAGAGAGAGAGGGAGAGAGAGAGAGAGAGAGAGAGAGAGAGAGAGGGAGAGAGAGAGAGAGGGAGAGAGGGAGAGAGAGAGAGAGAGAGAGAGAGAGAGAGGGAGAGAGAGAGAGGGAGAGAUACAGAAAGUUAGACACAGCCAGACCGACAGACAAGAGGAUAACAGAUAAACAAGUGUGAAUAAGGCGCAGUUAGGAGAAGUCUAAAGUGCUCCUCUGGCACAGAGUGCAAUACCCCCCUCACUCUCUCGUCCCACUUGGCAGUGGAGGAACCAAGACUCCUGUUUCCCUCCUCUCUCUCGCUCCACCUAAACUACAUUUUAUCCCACUUCUGAGCGCCCGCCAGGUUGCUAGGACUUCUCUCCUGUGUGGCACAUUGUGUUGGACUCCAAGAGUGCGUUGGUGUGGUGCAUUAUGUGCUACAUGCUUUAAAAGGCCCUUUUUGUGUGUGUGUAACAGAUUAAAAGAUUUCUUUAAGCCAGAUGGCCGCUGUUAACUUUGUGCCAGGGUGUGGGGGGGACACGGUGUGGCUAAGGCUUUGAUUGUUAGCCAGGCGCUAACAGGUUCGUCUUAGCACUCAGGCCAACAGACAGUGACACACAUAGAGUAAUGCUGUUAGUUAGGGUGUUCAAUACAAUAGAUUGCUCCAAUGUCUAAAUCGAAACCAAUGUUUUUCAAAUGUUAACUGCUUAAAUCACAUACUUGGUUCUUUCAAGGCAAACUGAGGGAUCACCCACAUUUCUCACUUUUUUUAUGUCUUGUUUUUGUAUACUCACUCCUAUACUCACGUUUAACUUUCAUAGUAAAUGAAUGGACCAAAAACCAUUUAAUUCUACCGUCUUGUUGAUGUACUUUGUAUCCAGCUGAAAUGUUCCCGUCUAAUGGCCUUUAAAUACUCUGAAGACACCAGGCACCGAAGGUGCUUAGUUAAUCCCCUGCUCUAUAAAAGCCAAGCAUUGAAGGAAAUAAAGCAGGAUCCUGGCAGAGACCUCAUACACUAUUGUCAGCAGGCCAGCAUCCAAACUAUUUCUUUGAUACAGGUGGGAAUCUAGUGUAUUCAGCAGACAUAUGACCAGCCACCCCCCUCCUCUAGGAGUAAUGGCUGCACCUCCUGUAUUCAUGAUCCAUUUUAUGGAUUUAUCUCAUGAAAAAAUUAAAAAAAGAUAUUAAAUCUUUGAGUUAAUCCAGAUCCGAUUCAACCAUUUUAAAACAGUUAAAUCUUUUAAAGGGGGGCCAAAGGAUAAUCAAAACAUGCAAUGAAGUAGAUGGGUUUUAUUAACAAGAUCAAAGUAACAUUAGAAAUUAAAAACAAACAAACAUAUGUUUAGAUGCAAACAUAACAGAUCUUCAGCGUUGGAUUAUAUUUAAAAAGAAAGAAGAAUGAAAUGCAUUACAAACACACAAAACAAAGCAAUAAAGUUAUAAAAACAGAUUCCACUCUUCAUCAGCACUCUGCUGCAUUCAGAGGGGGGCUAUAGAGGGGGUGGUGGAGGAACACAGGGGUGUUAAGAGAGACUCCAAACCAAAACAGAACCUGAUCUGUUUGGACUAGGGGUCCUCAUCUCUCUCGCCCCUCCAGCUGCACGCCUGCACCAGCCCUAGCAGUGUAUUGCUUCAGUUAAUGUUUAACACAUUACACCCCAUCCACUAGACCCC
ensembl:lncRNA